rnacentral:lncRNA from 1 species
CCUGCGCGCAGGUCGGCGGGCCAGCAGAGGCGAAGGAGCAGCCCCGUUUGGUGGCGCGCCCUGUCGCGGGAAACCUCUGCCCUCCGCGGUGCCGGUGCGAUCUUUUUUUUUUUCUGAGCCCCGAGUUAAAACCACGCGCGACGCGGUUCACGUGGGCGUUGGAAAUCACAGCCCAGCGCCCGCGUGUCUGUUGGAAAGGUAAAUCUUUAUUUCUUUUGUUUCUUCCAGGUUGAUUCCAGCAACGCGCUGUCUGAAAGAUGCUGCAAGGAGCUAAUAGUAACAAGUAGCUCUGUACCUUUCUGGACAGUCUGCUUUCUGGAUCCUUACGAGACCCCCGGUACUUGAUGACAAGGCUGGCUCUCUGUACGUUUAAACUAAAGAGGAAAGAAGGCCUGAGAGCUGGCUUUCCCGUGUCUUGCCUUGCUGUUCAAACACAGUGCGAGGUGUGGAAGGGAGGCAGGGACACGAGACAUGAUCUAGCUAAAUCCCCCAGUGCAAAGAGCUGGAAUGAGAGCAGUGUACUCGACUUAGAUGACCAGGACCUGCUGGGAUGGAAGAGGAGACUGCAAGUGACAGAUAUGACAAGACAAAUGCAUCUCCAGUCUUUGACGCACAGUAGACGCUUCAAAGAGAACAACCCCAAACAAACAACAGAAAGCAACAAUGAAGUGACAACAGGAAAAACAGCACUAGGCACAAGCAGCAACUCUGGGGUCAGAAGGUGA